UACGUAGGGCGCAAGCGUUAUCCGGAAUUAUUGGGCGUAAAGAGCUCGUAGGUGGUUUGUCGCGUUGUUCGUGAAAACUCACAGCUCAACUGUGGGCGUGCGGGCGAUACGGGCAGACUGGAGUACUGCAGGGGAGACUGGAAUUCCUGGUGUAGCGGUGGAAUGCGCAGAUAUCAGGAGGAACACCGGUGGCGAAGGCGGGUCUCUGGGCAGUAACUGACGCUGAGGAGCGAAAGCGUGGGGAGCGAACAGG
rnacentral:rRNA from 1 species